ACACGACUACAUUAGAUACCCCCUGUAGUCCUAGCCGUAAACGAUACUCGCUAGGUGUCGGCCACGGUGCGACCGUUGUCGGUGCCGUAGGGAAGCCGUGAAGCGAGCCACCUGGGAAGUACGGCCGCAAGGCUGAAACUUAAAGGAAUUGGCGGGGGAGCACCACGACGGGUGGAGCUUGCGGUUUAAUUGGAUUCAACGCCGGAAAUCUUACCGGGACCGACAGCAACAUGAAGGCCAGGCUGAAGACUUUGCCGGAUUAGCUG
rnacentral:rRNA from 1 species